AUUGAACGCUGGCGGCACGCCUAACACAUGCAAGUCGAGCGGUAACAUGUUUAGUAGCAAUACUAAAUGAUGACGAGCGGCGGACGGGUGAGGAACACGUAGGAACCUGCCCAAGAGAGGGGGAUAACUAAGGGAAACUUUAGCUAAUACCGCAUAAUCUCUGAGGAGAAAAGUUGCCCGUAAGGGUAGCGCUUUUGGAGGGGCCUGCGUCCGAUUAGUUAGUUGGUGAGGUAAUGGCUCACCAAGACUGUGAUCGGUAACUGGUCUGAGAGGACGACCAGUCACACUGGGACUGAGACACGGCCCAGACUCCUACGGGAGGCAGCAGUGGGGAAUCUUGGACAAUGGGGGCAACCCUGAUCCAGCGAUGCCGCGUGGGUGAAGAAGGCCUUCGGGUUGUAAAGCCCUUUAGGCUGGGAAGAAGAAUAUGGGAUGAAUAAUCCUGUAUUUUGACGGUACCAGCAGAAUAAGCACCGGCAAACUCUGUGCCAGCCGCCGCCGUAAGAC
rnacentral:rRNA from 1 species